rnacentral:tRNA from 1 species
GCCCCCAUGGCGGAAUUGGUAGACGCGAUAGACUCAAAAUCUAUUGUUGAAAGACGUGUCGGUUCGAGCCCGACUGGGGGUACCA